GAGUGAAGCGGCAACAGCUCAAAUUUGAAAUCUGGCCCUCGGGUCCGAGUUGUAAUUUGUAGAGGAUGCUUUUGGUGAGGUACCUUCCGAGUUCCCUGGAACGGGACGCCAUAGAGGGUGAGAGCCCCGUCUGGUUGGAUACCGAUCCUCUGUAAAGCUCCUUCGACGAGUCGAGUAGUUUGGGAAUGCUGCUCUAAAUGGGAGGUAUAUGUCUUCUAAAGCUAAAUAUUGGCCAGAGACCGAUAGCGCACAAGUAGAGUGAUCGAAAGAUGAAAAGCACUUUGAAAAGAGAGUUAAAAAGUACGUGAAAUUGUUGAAAGGGAAGCGCUUAUGACCAGACUUGGACUUGGUUGAUCAUCCUGGGUUCUCCCUGGUGCACUCUUCCAGUUCAGGCCAGCAUCAGUUCGCUGCGGGGGAUAAAAGUUUUGGGAAUGUGGCUCCCUCGGGAGUGUUAUAGCCCAUUGCAUAAUACCCUGCUCCGGACUGAGGUUCGCGCAUCUGCAAGGAUGCUGGCGUAAUGGUCAUCAGCGACCCGUCUUGAAACACGGACCAAGGAGUCGUCUUCGUAUGCGAGUGUUCGGGUGUUAAACCCCUACGCGUAAUGAAAGUGAACGCAGGUGAGAGCUUCGGCGCAUCAUCGACCGAUCCUGAUGUUCUCGGAUGGAUUUGAGUAAGAGCAUACGGGGCCGGACCCGAAAGAAGGUGAACUAUGCCUGUAUAGGGUGAAGCCAGAGGAAACUCUGGUGGAGGCUCGCAGCGGUUCUGACGUGCAAAUCGAUCGUCAAAUAU
rnacentral:rRNA from 1 species